rnacentral:rRNA from 1 species
CUGACUGCUAUCGGAUUGGUACUAAGCCAUGUGAGUCAUUGUAGCAAUACAAGGCAGACGGCUCAGUAACACGUAGUCAAUCUACCCUAUGGACGGGGAUAACCUCGGGAAACUGAGGAUAAAACCCGAUAGAUCAUAGUGCCUGGAACGGCUUAUGGUCCAAAUGAUUCGUCGCCGUAGGAUGGGACUGCGGCCUACCAGCUUGUUGGUGAGGUAAUGGCCCACCAAGGCUAUUACAGGUACGGGCUCUGAGAGGAGAAGCCCGGAGAUGGGUACUGAGACACGGACCCAGGCCCUAUGGGGCGCAGCAGGCGAGAAACCUUUGCAAUGUGCGCAAGCACGACAAGGUUAAUCCGAGUGUUUCCUGCUAAAGGAAUCUUUUGUUAGUUUUAAAAUCACUAUUGAAUAAGGGGUGGGCAAGUUCUGGUGUCAGCCGCCGCGGUAAAACCAGCACCUCAAGUGGUCAGGAGGAUUAUUGGGCCUAAAGCAUCCGUAGCCUGUUCUGUAAGUUUCCGGUUAAAUCCAUUAGCUCAACUAAUGGGCUGCCGAAAAUACUGCAGAACUAGGGAGUGGGAGAGGUAGACGGUACUCAGUAGGAAGGGGUAAAAUCCUUUGAUCUAUUGAUGACCACCUGUGGCGAAGGCGGUCUACCAGAACACGUUCGACGGUGAGGGAUGAAAGCUGGGGGAGCAAACCGGAUUAGAUACCCGGGUAGUCCCAGCUGUAAACGAUGCAGACUCGGUGAUGCGCUGGCUUGUGGCCAGUGCAGUGCCGCAGGGAAGCCGUUAAGUUUGCCGCCUGGGAAGUACGUACGCAAGUAUGAAACUUAAAGGAAUUGGCGGGGGAGCACCACAAGGGGUGAAGCCUGCGGUUCAAUUGGAGUCAACGCCGGA